AAGGAAUAUUGCUCAAUGGGAGAAACCCUGAAGCAGCAACGCCGCGUGGAGGAUGAAGGGUCUAUGACUUGUAAACUCCUGUAAAGAAGGAAAAAAUUCCCAUUUGAUGGGAGAUGAUGGUACUUCUGGAGUAAGCCCCGGCUAACUACGUGCCAGCAGCCGCGGUAAUACGUAGGGGGCAAGCGUUGUCCGGAUUUACUGGGUGUAAAGGGUGCUCAGGCGGAUUUGUAAGUCAGAGGUGAAAUCUUACAGCUUAACUGUGAAACUGCCUUUGAUACUGCAAGCCUAGAGUAUGGAAGAGAGUGAUGGAAUAUCUGGUGUAGCAGUGAAAUGCGUAGAUAUCAGAUAGAACACCAAUGACGAAGGCAGUCACUUGGUCCAUUACUGACGCUAAAGCACGAAAGCGUGGGUAGCAAACA
rnacentral:rRNA from 1 species